rfam:TPA: Bos taurus chromosome 10, whole genome shotgun sequence.
UCCCUGGCAGUCUAGUGGGUGAGACUCCUUGCUUCCACUGCAGGUGGUGUGGGUUAGAUUCCUGUCCAGGGAA